UGUUUCGGCUAGGGGGUCAUCCCGACUUACCAACCCGAUGCAAACUACGAAUACCGAAGAAUGUUAUCACGGGAGACACACGGCGGGUGCUAACGUCCGUCGUGAAGAGGGAAACAACCCAGACCGCCAGCUAAGGUCCCAAAGUCAUGGUUAAGUGGGAAACGAUGUGGGAAGGCACAGACAGCCAGGAUGUUGGCUUAGAAGCAGCCAUCAUUUAAAGAAAGCGUAAUAGCUCACUGGUCGAGUCGGCCUGCGCGGAAGAUGUAACGGGGCUAAACCAUGCACCGAAGCUGCGGCAGCGACACUAUGUGUUGUUGGGUAGGGGAGCGUUCUGUAAGCCUGCGAAGGUGUGCUGUGAGGCAUGCUGGAGGUAUCAGAAGUGCGAAUGCUGACAUAAGUAACGAUAAAGCGGGUGAAAAGCCCGCUCGCCGGAAGACCAAGGGUUCCUGUCCAACGUUAAUCGGGGCAGGGUGAGUCGACCCCUAAGGCGAGGCCGAAAGGCGUAGUCGAUGGGAAACAGGUUAAUAUUCCUGUACUUGGUGUUACUGCGAAGGGGGGACGGAGAAGGCUAUGUUAGCCGGGCGACGGUUGUCCCGGUUUAAGCAUGUAGGCUGGUUGUCCAGGCAAAUCCGGAUAAUCAAGGCUGAGGUGUGAUGACGAGGCACUACGGUGCUGAAGUAACAAAUGCCCUGCUUCCAGGAAAAGCCUCUAAGCAUCAGGUAACAUCAAAUCGUACCCCAAACCGACACAGGUGGUCAGGUAGAGAAUACCAAGGCGCUUGAGAGAACUCGGGUGAAGGAACUAGGCAAAAUGGUGCCGUAACUUCGGGAGAAGGCACGCUGGUGUGUAGGUGAAGCCCCUGCGGGUGGAGCUGAGACCAGUCGAAGAUACCAGCUGGCUGCAACUGUUUAUUAAAAACACAGCACUGUGCAAACACGAAAGUGGACGUAUACGGUGUGACGCCUGCCCGGUGCCGGAAGGUUAAUUGAUGGGGUUAUCCGUAAGGAGAAGCUCUUGAUCGAAGCCCCGGUAAACGGCGGCCGUAACUAUAACGGUCCUAAGGUAGCGAAAUUCCUUGUCGGGUAAGUUCCGACCUGCACGAAUGGCGUAAUGAUGGCCAGGCUGUCUCCACCCGAGACUCAGUGAAAUUGAACUCGCUGUGAAGAUGCAGUGUACCCGCGGCAAGACGGAAAGACCCCGUGAACCUUUACUAUAGCUUGACACUGAACAUUGAGCCUUGAUGUGUAGGAUAGGUGGGAGGCUUUGAAGCGUGGACGCCAGUCUGCGUGGAGCCAACCUUGAAAUACCACCCUUUAAUGUUUGAUGUUCUAACGUUGGCCCCUGACCGGGGUUGCGGACAGUGUCUGGUGGGUAGUUUGACUGGGGCGGUCUCCUCCCAAAGCGUAACGGAGGAGCACGAAGGUUAGCUAAUCCUGGUCGGACAUCAGGAGGUUAGUGCAAUGGCAUAAGCUAGCUUGACUGCGAGCGUGACGGCGCGAGCAGGUGCGAAAGCAGGUCAUAGUGAUCCGGUGGUUCUGAAUGGAAGGGCCAUCGCUCAACGGAUAAAAGGUACUCCGGGGAUAACAGGCUGAUACCGCCCAAGAGUUCAUAUCGACGGCGGUGUUUGGCACCUCGAUGUCGGCUCAUCACAUCCUGGGGCUGAAGUAGGUCCCAAGGGUAUGGCUGUUCGCCAUUUAAAGUGGUACGCGAGCUGGGUUUAGAACGUCGUGAGACAGUUCGGUCCCUAUCUGCCGUGGGCGCUGGAGAAUUGAGGGGGGCUGCUCCUAGUACGAGAGGACCGGAGUGGACGCAUCACUGGUGUUCGGGUUGUCAUGCCAAUGGCACUGCCCGGUAGCUAAAUGCGGAAGAGAUAAGUGCUGAAAGCAUCUAAGCACGAAACUUGCCCCGAGAUGAGUUCUCCCUGAGACUU
rnacentral:rRNA from 1 species